GAUUUCAGCUAAAAAAAGUCAUCGAUAAUAAAGUUGUAUAACUCAUCAAGAUCUAUAACUUCUAUUUUGGUCAUUUUUUCAUCCGACAAAGUGAUUGUAACACAUUCUUAAAAUUUACAUAUCUCUAUUAUAGUUUAUAAAACUAUAAGAGAUAGGUACAUUUUGUGAACAAUGUUAUAAAUCACUUUGUCGGAUGAAGAAAUGACCAAAAUAAAAGUUAUAGAUCUUGAUGAGUUAUACAAUUUUGUUGUUGAUGACUUUUUCAGUUGAAAUC
rnacentral:pre_miRNA from 1 species